ACACGGAGGGUGCAAGCGUUACUCGGAAUCACUGGGCGUAAAGCGCGCGCAGGCGGCUAUUUAAGUUGGAUGUAAAAGCCUACGGCUCAACCGUAGAACUGCAUCCAAAACUAUUUAGCUAGAGUGUGGGAGAGGAAGAUGGAAUUAGUUGUGUAGGGGUAAAAUCCGUAGAGAUAACUAGGAAUACCAAAAGCGAAGGCAAUCUUCUGGAACACUACUGACGCUGAGGCGCGAAAGCGUGGGGAGCAAACGGGAUUAGAAACCCCAGUAGUCC
rnacentral:rRNA from 1 species